CCAGGCAGCAGCGCUAAGCCAGCCGCUCUGGCCGCUGGCCGCGCGGCCAGUGUGCGAUCCGCGGGUUCUCUGGGGCCGCCGCUCCCCUCGAUCGGACUGCAGGACGUUUUAAACAAUAUCCCAGCCGCGCUUUCGCUAUAUAGAGAGUGCGAUCGGAGAGGGAAACGGUGUUUGUGAACACUGGGCGGAACUAGUGUUACAAGCAGAUGUGCGUGAUAUAGAUGGCGCUGUGAGUCCGGGGGUCCCUGAUUUCCCUCAAGAAACAGCAGAGCGAGGACGUCUGAAAUUUGAUAAAGAAACCUUCAACGACCCUUCAGUUCCGGUGGCAGAGCAGUACAUCCUGUGGUUUGCAACAGAAUAAUGCAGGGUCCUCCUCGCUAAUGCACAUCUAGUCUGAUUUCCGCUGCUGCUUUAAAUCUCUCCCUGACUGAUGGCUCACCUGAAGGAGACACUUGAUCUUUGCUGUUCACGUAUCCAAUCCACACAGGAGGCAAUCCUCACAUGCCAUAAA